CUACGGGGCGCUGCAGUAGGGAAUAUUGGACAAUGGAGGCAACUCUGAUCCAGCCAUGCCGCGUGCAGGAAGACUGCCCUAUGGGUUGUAAACUGCUUUUGUACGGGAAGAAACCCAUCUACGAGUAGGUGGUUGACGGUACCGUAAGAAUAAGGAUCGGCUAACUGCGUGCCAGCAGCCGCGGUAAUACGAAGGAUCCAAGCGUUGUCCGGAUUUACUGGGUUUAAAGGGAGCGUAGGCGGUCCUAUAAGUCAGUGGUGAAAGCCUUCAGCUUAACUGAAGAAUUGCCAUUGAAACUGUAGGACUCGAGUAUGGUUGAGGUCACUGGAAUAUAACAUGUAGCGGUGAAAUGCUUAGAUAUGUUAUAGAACACCAAUUGCGAAGGCAGGUGACUAAGCCAUAACUGACGCUGAGGCUCGAAAGCGUGGGGAGCAAACAGGAUUAGAUACCCCUGUAGUC
rnacentral:rRNA from 1 species